GAUGAACGCUGGCGGCGUGCUUAACACAUGCAAGUCGAACGGGAUCCCAGGGGUGCUUGCACUUUUUGGUGAGAGUGGCGAACGGGUGAGUAACACGUGAGUAACCUGUCCUUUUCUUUGGGAUAAGCAUUCGAAAGGGUGUUUAAUACCUUAUGUUCUGUCUGCCUCGCAUGGGGUGGGUGGGAAAGGCUUUGGCCGGAUUUGGGUGGGCUCGCGGUCUAUCAGCUUGUUGGUGGGGUGAUGGCUUACCAAGGCUUUGACGGGUAGCCGGCCUGAGAGGGUGGUAGGUAACAUUGGGCCUGAGAUACGGCCCAGACUCCUGCGGGAGGCAGCAGUGGGGGAUAUUGCACAAUGGGCGAAAGCCUGAUGCAGCGACGCCGCGUGGGGGAUGAAGGCCUUCGGGUUGUAAACUUCUUUUGCUCUGAACAAGGCAUGCCAGUGGGUGUGUUGAGUGUAGGGGUGGAUUAGCGCCGGCUAACUACGUG
rnacentral:rRNA from 1 species